GACGAACGCUGGCGGCGUGCUUAACACAUGCAAGUCGAACGGAAAGGCCUGCUUUCCCUUGUGGAUUGCGGGUACUCGAGUGGCGAACGGGUGAGUAACACGUGAGUGAUCUGCCCCCAACUUGGGUAUAAGCCUGGGAAACUGGGUCUAAUUCCCGAUAGGACUGCAGGGUGGUGCCUGUGGUGGAAAACGAUUUUCUAGUGGUUGGGGAUGAGCUCGCGGCCUAUCAGCUUGUGGGUGGGGUAAUGGCCUACCAAGGCGGCGACGGGUAGCCGGCCUGGGAGGGUGGACGGCCACAUUGGGACGGCGAUACGGCCCAGACUCCUACGGGCGGAAGCAGUGGGGAAUAUUGCACAAUGGGCGGAAGCCUGAUGCCGCGAGGCCGCGUGGGGGAUGACGGCCUUCGGGUUGUAACCUCCUUUCGACCGCGAGGAAGCCACCUGGUUGGAAGGGUGGUGACGGUAGUGGUAGAAGAAGCACCGGCUAACUACGUG
rnacentral:rRNA from 1 species